AGGGUUUGAUCAUGGCUCAGAUUGAACGCUGGCGGUAACUUUUAAACAUGCAAGUCGAGCGGUAACAGACAUAAAGAUUCAGCUUGCUGAAUCCGGUGCUGACGAGCGGCGAACGGGUGAGUAACGCGUAGGAAUCUACCCAGUAGCGGGGGAUAGCCCGAGGAAACUCGGAUUAAUACCGCAUACGCCCUGAGGGGGAAAGGGGGCAGUUUACUGCUCUCACUAUUGGAUGAGCCUGCGUAAGAUUAGCUUGUUGGUAGGGUAAUGGCCUACCAAGGCAACGAUCUUUAGCUGGUCUGAGAGGACGAUCAGCCACAUUGGGACUGAGACACGGCCCAGACAUCUACGGAUGGCAGCAGUUAGGAAUAUUGGACAAUGGGGGCAACCCUGGUCCAGGUAUACCGCGUGUGUGAAGAAGGCCCUAGGGUUGUAAAGCACUUUAAUCAGAGAAGAAGCAUUUUAAGUUAAUACCUUAUUAUGUUGACGUUACCUGAAGAAUAAGGACCGGCUAACUCCGUGCCAGCCGCCGCGGUAAUAC
rnacentral:rRNA from 1 species